CUAAAAUGAGUUGGGAAGUGCUUAUUCCUCUUCUAUUUUCUAGAAAAGAUAUUGUACAAAUGGUUUUAAUUUUUCUUUAAACAUUUGGCAGAAAUCUGUGAAACUAUGUGGGCCUGAGAAUUUCUUUUUUGUGAGUUUUAAAAUUACACAUUAGAUUUCCUUAAUAUUGCAGGACCAUUUCAGUGAUUUCUUUUAUAUAUGGAUGAGUUGUAAGAGUUUGUGGUUUUCAAGGUAUUGGUCCAUUUCAUCUAAGUUGUCAAAUUUGUUUGUUGAGUUGGUUGUAGUAAACCCUUAUUAUCAUUUUGAUGUCUGCAGAGCCUGAAGUGACAUCCAUUGUUUCAAUUCUGAUAUUGGUAAUUUGUGUCGUGUCUCUUGUUUUUCCUUUGUCACUCUUGUCUAGGGUUUUGGCUAUUUUUAUAUUAUGCUACUCUGGAUCUUAUUUAAACCAGUUUUAGCUGACUUUGUCUGAUGAUGCUCUGGCAUAAGAAGGGAGGAGAGGACACUGCUUCAUUACUGCCAGAUGGAGGUCGAAGUUCAAGUUCUCCAUUUUGCCUGCACCGACACCUGAGGGCCAGGCCAGCAAGCACUACCUCCAUGCUUAUCCCCAGGAUGUGACCAAGGAAAGUGGUAUCUCCUGGCAGUGGAUUAACUGGGAAAUGCACGUUGGGAGGUGCACAGCAGACAUACCUGGGGGCCUAGGAACUAUAUGCCCACCAACCCAAUAUUCUGAUAUAACACACCCUCAAGAAAUAAAAAUCUUGCCCUGGUUGGAUAUCACUGUGAUGGGAAACAGGGAAGAAUGGGUAGUAUCAGAUGAUGGGCGAAAGGAGCUGCAUUUUUUUUUAACUAGUGGAAGGAUGAUAAUAUAACAGGGCCCUUGAAGGAGAUCAUGUAGUAAUAAAACACAGUCCAUGUGAUUUGGAGUCAGUCAUAUUUCUACCCCAUAGAAGUACACUGUCCAGAAUAGUAAAUACAAAUGGUUAUUUAAAUUUAAACUAGUUAAAUUUAAAUUAAAAAUUAAAACUUA